GCCAUGUUUCUUCUGCCUCCUGUGGAAAUGGACUUAAUGCUUUUGCUGUAACUUUAUCUUGAAAUAGUAAUCAUAAAUGAAUCAUGGUAAAUCAGGUUGAUGUUUUGCUCUACUAAAAUCUUGUGACUGCAGGUAGGAAGAGUUGGGAGCGAACAGUCUGAGGAAGUGGACUGUGGAAGCUGAAGGUUGUCCAGCCAAAGCUGAGUGUGUGGCUCUGACACUGACCAAGGCUGGAAAGAGUUACUGUGUGGACAGAGAAUGUUAGAGCCGGGUGAGCUUUCACAGGAUGAAAGAAGCGAGGAGAGAAUCGAAUGGAAAGAAUUGCUGAGAUCAGGCAGCUGGCAAAAGAGGAGAGAGCCCCUGCGAGGCAGAGCCCCUGGAAUGCCCUGUCCUGGUCUGAGGUUCCCACUUUUAUCUCCGACUCCCGGAGAAUUGCUGGAGCAGAACCAGAGAGUGUCCAUUUUAUUUCCUGCCUUUUCCAAUAAACGGUGACUUUCAGCUGGA